rnacentral:rRNA from 1 species
UACGGGGGGGGCAAGCGUUGUUCGGAAUUACUGGGCGUAAAGGGCUCGUAGGCGGCCAACUAAGUCAGACGUGAAAUCCCUCGGCUUAACCGGGGAACUGCGUCUGAUACUGGAUGGCUUGAGGUUGGGAGAGGGAUGCGGAAUUCCAGGUGUAGCGGUGAAAUGCGUAGAUAUCAGGAGGAACACCUGUGGUGUAGACAGCUUACUGGACCACUUCUGACGCUGAGACACGAAAGCGUGGGUAGCAAACAGG